CUGCUCCCUCCUCCAGCAGCACCUCAGCCGUCCCCCGGAUCUCGCCGCUCUUUCUUCCUGCCCACCCGCACGGCCGUCUGUCCCGAGAGUCGCCUCAGCCUGGUGACCCCCAAGCUGCCGGUCCUCGUCCCUGAGCCGCUACACUGACUGCAGCCUGGUGAUGAGGGGGCCUGGGGCCUGUAGUGUAACAGAUUCCCUGUCUGCUCUGCACGUGCCAGCACAAGAGAGCUAUAAAUAGGGCCCAGGCCCAGGCAUCCUUUGUGGAGAACGAGCCACAAACUUCAGGAGAGGCCAUGUUACCCCGGCAGCAGCCGUGUAUGGGGCCUGGGCUGAUGCUGGAGCCAGAGCAGUGAGGCCCUGCCCAACCCUCUCCCUACCCCAGGGAGCAGGAGCCACCAAUGGAGACAUGCCAUCUCCUCCCUCGUCUGCAGCCCACCUGGCACUCAGGAAGCGGCCCAGAGGCUGAGCCCACACCCCGAAGGGAGCCCCUGCCCUGAGGAAAAUUCUUAAGUCCUCUGCGAAUGUCUGGAAAGAACCACAGGAAGAAGGCAGAGGUGUGGCCUGGAUCAUUCCGAGCUGCCUGGCCCCAGAUGCCCCGAUGCAGGCUUGGAGGUCCUUGAGACGCCCGGAGAGGGAGCAGAGGCAGCGUCUGAACUGGGAAGGAGGGUGUGGGGUGGACACAUCGGGGAACGAAAGCCCUGGAGCCACCGGCACAUCCAGGACAGUUCAGCCUCCUGCCCUUGGGCCGAGCGAGACCCUUGACCCGAGCGAGACCCUUGACCCGUGUCCCCCAGAGCAGGAUGACAGGAUGGUGAGCUCCUCCGGGCUCUCUCUGAUCAGCCCUGGUGGUUCCUUAUCCGGAGCCUGAGCCGGGCAGUGCUGUGACACCUUGACUUAGGACAGGAUGCCUUGUGAGACAGACAUGUCUAACUGUUGGAAAGAGGGGACAGGGCCAGGGAAGAGGGCGUGGAGGCUAAUAACCCCUGAUGUCUGGCAACGCUGUCAUCCAGAAACCUGACUCAGACAGCGUGGCAUGAACUGCUGGGUCCCGUAACAUGGUCCCAGAAUCCAAUCCACUCAUUCUGCGAAGGGGCAGUGACCCCCUCAGACAGUGGGGUGGGGUAUGAAUGAGUGGAAAACACACUGUCUUUGGUGGAUCCGGAGGGCACGUGGACCCUAGAGUCCAGAGCCUUCCAUGGGCAAAGGUCUCCACAGUGGGUGGCUAAGGAGACCACUUGGGACUUACUGCCACGGUUGCCACUUCCACGUAGCUAACCCAGGGCAAUCUGUAGUUUACACCUGACCCGGAGAUCUGAGUUCAUCCUGUCUCCUCUCUGUGAGCCUCCUGGGGCCUUGGGGUGGGGUAGCACGGCUGUGUGCCCGAGUGCACGCGGGAUUAAACCCAGGACCCGAGCCCAUGGACACGGA